GGCCUGAUGGUCUAGUAGUAUGAUUUCUUGUUAGGGCGCAUUUAGCGCAUCUCGAGGAGGUCCUGGGUUCAAUUUCCAGUCAGGCCC